AUUUCUUCACCUCGUUUGACGCCACAUGUUCCCCCUGGUUGCCGCGUCGUCCUCGUCUUCGGCUUGCAAGGGACUGGAUCUGGUGUGAUUGAUUCUUCCUCUCGCAAGGUAGAGGGACAAAAAUUGAAGAUCCAAAUGAGCGACUCAAAUUCAGGAUUUGAGUUACCAAUGUAGUGUCUACGACUGGCUGAUGGUUCAAGAGUUCGAAGAAAGUCAAGCAGAAGGGAAUACUACACAUGCCCACGCUGCUAUAUGCCAAGGUGCUAGAGGCCACAUAUUGGGCAGGAGUUGUGGUGUGCAAGUGCUAGAGGCUACAUAUUGCUGGAAGGUGCUCAAUUCACAUUAGGACAGCCCACCCCCAAGAAGAAAUUAAAACAGAGAUUAUUCACUUUGUGAAGAUCAAUAACAAUGAGGAGCAGGUGCCGGCAGCUGAGGCGUGUUUGUCUGGUACACACGAGCCAAUUUCUCCUGUUAGGGUGGACGACAUGUAUGACUUUACGUCUUUACCCCGCAUGUCGGUCCUUGGUUUGCUUGAUUUUUAAUGAGCGAUGUGAGAUUGAUAGCGGGUCACAUGUUUAUCAAUGUUAUUUUGGCAUCAUCAAAUUACUUACCUGCCAGUUCUUCUGUCGCAACUCUCUAUCUUUUUGUUUAUACAUUUAGAAAUCUUGUCUUAGGUUACAACAACUAUUAAAGUAGUUGUAUCUUGGCCUCUUGCACUUUACCCGCGUUCAGUCUUCUCAUGUUUGAUUUUUAUGCUUCUAUUUUUUUGGCUGACGAGAGCUUUCAUGGCUGCUUAUGUCAUGUGAGUAAGCCCAUGCCAAAUGUUAAAAAGUAAAUAGGAAUUGAGCUACAAAUUCUUAGAGGAAAUCAGAUAGCUCCAUUUGGAAGGAAAACUGAAAAACACAACUUCCAGUUGGCUUUGAUAGAAUAGCAGCAGAUCCAACCAUGGCUAGCCAGAAUAGGUUCUUCUUCGUCAAUUGGGCUAGAGAGACGAUCGUGAUUGGUCAAUAUGGUAGCAUACAAAAUAUGUCACAAUGUCAACCGACUGUAGAUUUGAUGGUCCAGUUUCACAGGCAAUUGACAUUUGUAUCAAUUAUCCUGUGUAUACAUUAUGCUAUAUGACCAUGGAAGGUAUGCCUACAAAAUACAGAGCAGUUUG